CUUUGAUUCGGUGUCACGACGCGCGAGGACAGUGUGCUCGUGUGGGGCAAAGUGGAGGCGACCUGUCCGGUCGAUGCCGCAUGGUGGCGUCACACCGACACCUGGCGGCCACGGAGGGAGUUACACACAUCCAGGGACACAGCAGAGGAACUCCACUGGAGCCUAUGGACAAAGAAGUAUUGCUGUGGCUGGUUACCAUGGGAACAGAGGUACCUGGAAAAAGUGGUGGCUUCACGUGACGACAUACAAUAGCUUGUGGAUGCAUCGAAGGCUGCAGCACUU
ensembl:lncRNA